rnacentral:lncRNA from 1 species
GGUAGGGCAAAAACCCUCCCAGGAGGGAGGAAGUUGUUGUUAGGAGCCAGACCUUAGGAGGUAAGGCAGCACCCAGGCUGCUGGGUGGUUGCCAUUCUGUGUAUGUUCUCACACUGGGGCAGGGCUGAAAGCCUUACAGAGAACUGUGGAGAAGUAGCCUUGGCCCCCAUUCUUGGUGGUUGGGGACCCCAGCUGGGCUUCCUGGAGCAGACACCAGCAGCCACUCCUCUGGACUACUGGCAAUUCCAUGGUUGCUCACGAAGAAGGAGGACCCCUGUGCUUGGAACCAGUCUGGCCUUCCUGGACGCAGUGCCCCAGUAAAGAGAGAAGCAAGAGAGUGACAUUUCCUACAGGUCUUCUGUCAAUUUUGGGUUGUUUUUCCAUUGUUGAUAUCUCAGAGGGACUCUCCAGAAAAAAGCCCAGCCAGCUUCUCCAAGGACUCACCCUAUGUUGGGAGUAGAUUUCUGCAUAUGCCUUUGAUUUCACAGAUGAGCUUCACAGCCAUUGAAUAAGCUGCCCGAAUCACAAGACCAAGGGCUGUUGUUUCCUAAAUUGGAGGGAGGCCCUGCCCUCACCUGCUCUUCCCUAGCAGGCCUUCACCCUCUCACCUGACCCUCCAGGAUCCUAGAGGCCUUUCCUGAGAUUCCAGAGCCCUUGUCCCUCACCACACCCUGAUCCUGGCAGCUGUAGCAAACUGCUCAUGUUCUUUGUCAGAGGUCCAUGGUGAGAUUGUUUUGUUUCCUUUUGUUUUGUUUGUGAGUGUGUUUAAAAUCAAAAUUAGAUAUUUUCUUCUGCUGGACAGUAUUAAAUAGAGCAGGAUGUUAAGUUAAUUUGCCAGAUUGCAGUACUAAUGGUAGUGGAUUAGUGUCUUCAUGUUAAUAUUAUUUUUACUUAUUUGAACAAUAAUGAUAAAGAAGUGGUUCAUUAUUUUUUAAUUAAUGCACUUUAAGGUGGAAUGGAAAGAAACCUAGAGAGCAAAGUUCAUUACUUAAAGAUGUAAUAUAUACAUUUCUUAUUUUUAAUAAAUUUUUAUUAAUAAAAAUUCCUAUUUUUAUUAAAUUUUUAAUAAUAUUUUAAUUAUUUUUAAUAAAUAUUUAUUAAAAUUAAAAAGUAAUUUAUGGUUAUUUAAAAAAAACUAUUUGUUGCUACUGCAGUUCUAGAUACUAGUAGAGCUAAAUUCCAAUUGAUAUAUGAAAAUAGGGCCCUGUAUGAUAACUUUGAUCUGCAAUCUGGUAUCAGUAAUCAUAAGGUCUGUAAACCACUGCACUGAAGUUUAGUAAUUCCUAUUUAUUCCAUGCUGGCCAUAAUACAAAGUGCUUAAUUCCAUUUAUCUUAUUUAUUUCUAUAACAACUAUGUGUUUUGAAGUAGGUAUUAUUAAUUCUAUAGCCUAACGGGCUGAUUUAGUUUAAUAAUGUGCUCCAAAUUGUACUCCCAAUGAAUCGUUCAGUCAGAAUUUGAACCCAGCUAGCUUCCAUUUAUUUUACUGUCACAAGAUCUAAGGCUCAUAAUGAGGAAUAUUAAAAAAAGAUAAGUUAAAAUUUUUAAUUUUGACUGCUUAUUAUGUGCCAGGUAAUUCUAAGCCCAUUUCUUAUAGAUCAUCAACACCACAUGACAAUAUAGAUCCAUAUAGGAGUCUGUCUUGACAGAGGAAGGCAGGUAGGUCUAGAGCAAUGGACUUGCCCAGGGCAGAACUAGAGCAGGAGCUGAACAAGCAUCCAGGCAGCUGGCUGCAGAGCCUGCACUCUUCAUGGUGCUAGAAGUUCUGCAGGACUGUAUAAAUGCUCUGGUGGUUACCAUCCAACCACCAUGGCCCAGCUCCCUUCUAUCAAUGUGGAAAAGGGUCCAGGACAGCAAAUCACAGGAGCACUGCAUGGGAAACAAGGAAGAUAGAUCAGCAGCCCCAGGUGAAGAAGGAGGUCAGAUGAGAUGAUGAACCUGCAAGUGAUGCUGGUGUGCACCUGUCUGCAAACCACUGCCCAAGGAUGUUGGAGAAGGACCAGGUGGCAGGGAAGAGGAUUGUGGGCUCUGAACAUAGCUAGUUUCAAAACUGUCAGACAAGUAUCAAGGUUCACUGUUCCACUAUCCCAAGAUUUACAGUACACAAUAAGAAAUGUUGAUAUUAACAAGGUAAUGAUAAAGUGCACUGAGAAUUUAUUAGGUCAGGUACUGUCCUAAGCACUUUUCAUCUCACUCAACAAACUUUUUGUUGAUCUACAAGGUUAUGCAUUAUGAAAUCAAAAUUGGAUAUUUAAUUAAAUGCCAUUCAAGUUUGUUUUGUAAAAAAAAAAUUGACACACACCAGGUACAGUGACAAACAUUUGUAAUCCCAGUGAAGUAGGGGAAUCUCAAGUUCAAGAGCAGCAUGGGCAAUUUAGGGAGAACUCAAAAUAAAAAGGUUUGGGGAAGUAGCUCUGUGGUAAAUCACCCCUGGGUUCAGUUCCUAGUACCAAAGAAAGAAAGAAAGAAAGAAAGAAAGAGAGAGAGAGAGAGAGAGAGAGAGCGAGAGAGAGAGAGAGAGAGAGAGGGAGAGAGAGAGAAAGAAAGAAAGAAAGAAAGAAAGAAAGAAAGAAAGAAAGAAAGAAAGAAAGAAAGAGAGAAAGAAGGAAAGAAAGCCACUUGUCUCUUUUGUCAGGAAACAUUGAGUUCUUGCCCUUUAACCAAAGUCCCCUUGAAAAAAAGAAUUCAAUACAUCUCUAGAUCUUGCUCAGCUUCAAAUUCUUGAACUGCUUUCUGAGUGCAGAAAAUAUUGUGGCCCAAACAGGCCAUGAUGUUCUCUAAGCCUCCUGAGCUCAUUAUGCACAUCACUACAUUUUGUGUUUUGGAACUUAUAAAGACAGUGUGAUGAUUUAAAGUUCCAUUGAUUUUUCAUUCCCAUAAUGAGAAACCAGUCUCUUUUAGUUCAUCUUCAAUACAGUUGUCAAACUGAUAGAAUUAGCCAGAAGCUAUUUCAUUUUCUAGACUGGAGCUAAGUGCUUAAGUAUAGAUAUAGUAUUUCUAACCACAAUGGUUAAAAUAAAAUCUUUACCAUAUAAAUUAUAUGGUUGUAAAAAAGAGCUUGACUUAAAAAAAGAAGUUGUCCUCUGUUAAGCAUAGCUUUUGUUUUCCAAAUGACAAUUGACAGUUUCAUUUUCUAAUAUUUUCCAUAUCAGCCAAAGGUUUCCAACUAUAUUUACAUAUUCUUGUACUAAGAUUUUUGUUUUUGCCAGUUUUUACCAGUGACCAUCAUCGGGAUGCACUUAAACUUCUUUCUGAAUAUUAUUUUUAGUUACAUUUCAUUAUUUAGCUUUUUAAAUAUGUCCAUAGUCUUUUAGGACAUGAGUUUCAACAAGAAAAUUAUACAUUUCCAAUAAAAUUCAAUGCUGAAAAUUUGAACAUUUUAUGUAAUGGUGAAAGAAAUUCGGAACGAUGUUGAAGAUUAAAACAAAAUUAAAGUAUGUGCAACAGAGCAGAAAUAUUUGGAGAGUGAUGAACUAUUACUGGUUUUAACACAAGUAACAUGACUUCUUUAAACCUCACAAAUCAAAGACCAGAUUAAUUGUAUUUCUUUUAUUAUAAAAAGGAUGAUUUAGAAAACUGUUAACUUCCAAAAAUUUGGUACAAUAUAGUUUUUAUUUUUUUAACAGAUAAAGUUUGUUUAUCGUCCAAGGAGUAUUUAUGUUAUCACCAAGGCCACUGUAUACAAACAUAAGAGGGGAGCUUUAUUUCUUGGUCUCUUCCUCCUUGGACAGAGUCUGUAUGAUGUCCACCUCCUUGGCCUGGAGCGCUCCUCCUAGCGCUUGUGUGCUUCCUUGUUCUUAUACCUGCAGGUCUCAGCCUGGUCAGCCAGAAGCUUUUUGUCAGCCUUAUCUGCCUUCAGCUUGUGGAUACCCUCCAUGAGGAUCCACUUGUUUUUGUACAUAUUGCCCUUUACCUUCAGGUAGAGGCUGUGAUACAUGUGGUGGUCAAUGUUAGAUUCACGGUAUCUCUGAGCAGCCUACACAGAAUCUGCAUCCUCUGCACGAAGGUGACCUUUUUCUGCAUUGGAGCAUUAGCUGUACUCCUCUGCUUACCUAUGCCCACAUGUCUGUGCCUCAGGGGAGCCAAGGUAUUUUUCUGGCAUGCAGCCCCAUAAUGGAUAGUCACUGUUUUGUGGAUGAUCAGCCAUUUUUUAUCAGCUUCCAGAUCUGCUGAUGAGAG